rnacentral:rRNA from 1 species
GACAGCAGUAGCCACGGUAAUACAGAGGGUGCGAGCGUUAAUCGGAUUUACUGGGCGUAAAGCGUGCGUAGGCGGCUUUUUAAGUCGGAUGUGAAAUCCCUGAGCUUAACUUAGGAAUUGCAUUCGAUACUGGGAAGCUAGAGUAUGGGAGAGGAUGGUAGAAUUCCAGGUGUAGCGGUGAAAUGCGUAGAGAUCUGGAGGAAUACCGAUGGCGAAGGCAGCCAUCUGGCCUAAUACUGACGCUGAGGUACGAAAGCAUGGGGAGCAAACAGGAUUAGAUACCCCCGUAGUCCCUGUCUCUUAUAC